rnacentral:lncRNA from 1 species
CAGGGCCCCUUUCUCGGUGUUUUUAGCCCUCCUGUGUUUACUUUCCCAGGUGUUACUCUUUACUGUGACCGUAAGCGUCACGUUUAAUUCUGUUAGUGGAAGGUGCGACUCGCUCAGUGAACAGCUCCGGCGGGGGAUGUGCUCGUAGGGCUGCGGUCAGGCGCUGGCAGUGAAACAGGGCCGUGCCGGGGGGCGCGGACGGGGUUUCGGUUAGCCAGUUUAACUCCCUUUCGUGUGCUGAGGGAUGGACGGCACGCUGUGAGGAAAUGGAGAUGAGGAAAAGAACUUGGGGGGCUGGCGGAUGCUUCCUUGAUUUCGCAGAUGACACCAAAUUGGGGGGGAACACUUGAUAUGUUCGAGGGCAGGGCUGCUACCGAGAGGGACCUAGACAGGCUGGAGAAAUGGGCUAACAGGAACCUUUUGAAAUUCAAGAAGGACAAAUGCAAAGUUCUGUUCCUGUGAAGGAAGAACCCUUGGCACCAGUACAGGCUGGGGACAGCCUGCAGGAAAGGCCCUGUGCGUUGGUGGGCAGCAAGACAGGCACUAUGGGAACCACUGCAUCGACUAACUUCAGUUCCUCCUUAGAAUGAAAACCUCAAAAGUCAGUGACAGUUCACAUGUCAACUUUAACUUGGAAAAUCUAUUACUAGAGGUGAGUAGUACAGGACACUUCGGUCUUUGUGUUCUCUAUCAGAGUAUCUCGCAAAGCUUCCCACUGCUGCCAGUGAGGUAGUAUUUUUGUGAGCUUGGC